rnacentral:rRNA from 1 species
UACGUAGGGUCCGAGCGUUGUCCGGAUUUAUUGGGCGUAAAGAGCAUGUAGGUGGUAUCUUAAGUCGAACUUCAAAGCCCGCAGCUUAACUGCGGUUCUGGGUUCGAUACUGAGUUACUUUGAGGAUGGUAGGGGCAAGCGGAAUUCCCGGUGUAGCAGUGAAAUGCGUUGAUAUCGGGAAGAACACCAAUGGCGAAGGCAGCUUGCUAGGCCCUCCUGACACUGAGAUGCGAAAGCGUGGGGAG